rfam:Terribacillus aidingensis strain MP602, complete genome.
GGUACCUUUAAUUCAGUCCCGUGAGGCUGACAAGGACAUUCGGAAACUAUGCGGAGUAAUGGGAUAGCUAUAUCCUUAUAUCCUCAUGUUUAAAGAGGCUUCCUGUCAGUGAUGGCAGGAAGCCUCUUUUCU